GAAAGAAUGCAAGGAAGAGUAUUCGUUGACAGACCUUCAGAAAACAGUAUUGAAGCAACAAAAUACCAUGAAAUGAAUCCUAGUCAUCCAGAAACAUAUGUAGAAAGAACACAUAAAGAAACAUGUUAUCCACGAUUAAUGUCUAAUUUGGAUGGUCAGGUUCUUGCUCUAGCUGUAAAUUCUCCCCUGAAAAAUGAAACAGUGAAUGCUAUGAAUCCAGUAAACACUUCUACUAGAAAAAGUGAACAGAAUGAUAUUCCACGGCCAGUUUAUGAAGUGCAGAGAGACAGUGUACUUCAAAGUCAUCGUAUAAACGAGAAAACAGGUUGUGAAAAAAGGUAAUCUAUUCUUCAAGUACAGAAAGACUUAUUUAAACAACCAGCAAAGACUGUUAGAAAUAUGAAACAGGCAUGCACAUCAGGUUGUACAACAGCAGGUCUGUCUGUCAAUAGCAAAACUUUUAGCAAGAUGCUGCGAACUUGUCCAUACCUAUGUUAUCAUCACAAAGUCGUUCUGGAAGCUGAAGAAAGAUAUAAAAAGGAACUUCAGAAGUUGUCUGUUUCUCAUAUUAGUGGAUAUGCAGCUUUUGAGCAAAUACUGCUGACCCCAAUAAAGAAAGGAAAAUUGCAUACAGAGACAUCAACUUUUAAGAGCAAAAAGGAUAAUGUCCAAAGUAUUCUUUUGACUCCAAUUAGAAAAAACAAACCUGAUACUUCCCAUAGAGAUGAACAUAAUAAAAAUACUCGGUUACCUGAAGAAUAUAACUUGCUACCGAUAUAUGAAAAGUCAAAAUAAAUACUGGCAGAACAAUGAGAGAGACUCCCUGGAUAUAAACAUAAGAACUUUAAACAAGAAAAGAAGAAUCCGAAAAGAUUUCACAGAUGAAGAAAUCAAUUAUCUUUUAACUGGAGUAAAAGAAAUGGGUCAUCACUGGAAUUUGAUUUUGUGGUCCUACCCAUUUCAGGAAGGACGGACGAACGUUGAUCUUUCCAGCAAAUACUACAAGUUGCAGGUGCAAAUAACUAAAGUUUAGUUUUCUACUAAUAAUAUAUACUACCAGGUCAUUUUUAAUCUUUUCACCCUGAUUUGACUCUCAAAAAAAAAAACAAACACAAAUCCAUAGGAUGUUAGAAUUUGCAGCCUGUGGGGUUGGUCUUUCUGUCAUUUCAAUGUUUUGCAUGCUGAGGAUUUGAAUUCCAAUGUAAUUUAGAGAUGCUAUCAAUGGAUGGAUCAGAUAGCAUUUUUUGCUGUAUUCUGGGUAAAUGUGGGACUGGGCAACCAUUUUUCUACUGAGACUUUUUUCUAAAAUUGUAUAGUGUUUUGUGUCAACAUUGGUCAUGAUGGUUUUUGUAUCUACUAUCUUACAGAGGCAGGAAAAAAACAAAAGCCGUCAAUAACAUCUUUCAAGAAUAUUUUCGAUUUUGAUGCAGAAAGUUGAAGAACAGCUUUAUUAAUGAAGAGAUACUACCACAAUGAUACAAGCCUGUUGAGAAUUUAGAUUGGUUUGAACUUGUGUUUUUCACUGCUAACAUUCAUUUACAGAAAUUGUUAUGCUUUGCGAAUUUCACUUAAAUGUAAUUUUUUUAAUAAUGCUAAAAUAGCUACUAAAAUAGUCUUUACCAGUAAAAGUUAUUUUUUAAAAGAACUUAAUUUAACGUUCUUACACUUUUGGUUUUGCAACAAUUAAUUUGCUUUGAUUCUUUUUACAAUGUAUUUGUAAAGAAAAGGUUUAUUGAAUAUUUUGAAUUUAAUUAUUUGAAUUACUGAAUAUUUUUAUUAAUAUUUUAUGCCAGAAACUGCUAAGUGUUAAUGUUCUGACUUUUUUUCCCCUUUUAAUUGGUGAAAUCAGCGGCUAAGGUACUUUAUGCACUUGAUGUGCAGUAUGUGUAGAAAAAUAGAAUACAUUUCCAGACAUCUAGAAGAGGUGUUUUUUUUAUUCUAAGUUAUACAGUCAGGUCAACAAUUAAGAGAAUCGUAUAGUAGCAGAAAUGUUUAAGUGAUUGCAGAGGUUAUAAAGACCUUUCUAAUGAUAUCAAAACAUUCACAAAAUAAAUGCUAAUAACUAUUAAUUUUGAACAUAGAAGUUGUAGGAAACGUUCAAGAAAAUCAACAUACCUGAGGUAUUUUUGAACAGAAGGUUGUAUACUUUCAGAGAGAGAGGACUGGUAGAACAAGCUUUAUAAUUUUGUUAAAUUCUUACUUGCAAAUAAUUCUGAGUAAAACAGGAUAUAUCUAUGAGAGAAAGCACCAAAUGUAUGUUUGAGCAUUGCUGAAUACGCUAGGCAAAUCUUACAGAGGUUGACAUAAAUUGAAUUAUAGAGCUUGUGGAGAUUUCAGAACUUAUACACGGAAGAUAGUGUGUGGUUCAGCUGCAGUAUUUCUUAUAUGACAUUCAUGGACCUAUGUAAAAUACUUAUGUGGUGAACUAAAUAGAGUGUAGCUACUGAUUAAUUUGACUUCUAGUUACAGUGGAACAUUUCUUUGUAUAUUAUAUAAGUGCAUGAGCAGAACGACUGUUCUUGCUAAAUAUACAAUGGUUGUAAAAAGCUUUAGUGAAAGCCUUAAUAACUUGAUUUUUCAGUGAUAACCUUAGUAUUUCUGUUCUAAUUAGUUCAAUUAUUAUAGAAAAAGCUUGGUCAUCUUAUUUGCUGUAGGCUUUUACUAUGAUGUAGCUUGAAUGCUUAAAAGUGAGAAAGAUAAUCUGAAAUUGAAGGACUUCUACUGAUGCUGAUGGUAUAAUAAAUCGUUUUUAAAUGUUUUUCAGCUGUUGCUCUUUAUAUAUAUAUAUAUAUCUUGUUAAAAUACUAAAGAACCUAUAAAAGGUGCCUUAAGGCAUAUCUUUGUAAAGGCCCAAUCCUAUAAACCUUUAUGAAUGGAGCUAUUCCAAGUGGUGUAAUUAAAUAUUGGCUUACGUAUUUGCAGAACCUGAGCCAAAAGUAAUACCAAGGAGUGGUGCAUACAUCAGUGAGAUUUUGGUCUGUUACGCACUCCACAACGUAUUUUUCCAAGGACUCAUAAGCUAGUCCAGGCAAGCUUCUAUUUCAUGUAGUAUCUGAAUGUGUAUUAGUAAUCCAUAUUGUUCUGGCCUAAAUGUAUUUGAAGUGGAAAAAAUAUGGAAGACGUACAUCUUUGGUUGACAGAUGUAAUCAGAGUAUUGCAAUAUUGACAAUUUACUUAUUUGUAGGUAACAAUUUAGGUUGUGAAUGACCUCUGGAGUCAGUAAUCUAACUUCCUUAGAACAGGCCUAAUUUCAAAGUUAGUUCGGGCGCUCUGUGCCUUGGCAAGUGCUGAAUAUCUCCAAAGCUGAAAUCCCCACAAUCUCCUCUGCCGCUUUAAUUCUCUCAUAAUGAAAAUUGCUGAAAUAGGCAUCAUUAAAACGUUCUUAUAAAAUCCUGCAAGGGAGAGUCAUGACUGGGAGCGAGUAGAGACGUGUUGUGUGAAUUUGUGCAAGUUGAUUCAUCUCUGUCUGACAGUAAGUGACCGAACACUCUGGGUAAUUGUAUUUUCUUGUAUAAACUGCUUUGAAAUGCACACAUAAUGGUUAUUAGUAAUACAGUUGCGUAAGACCCAUUCAUGUCACUUUUAGACUUCUUAUGCUACCCCAUGCUUUGAAAAGUCCUAGUGCCUGGCGGUCACUGCCCAAGUGUGAGGGAAGGGAUUUCAGAAAAAGUAUUUAAAAAAAAAACAAAAACGAAAUUGUUUUGUAACACGAGUAGAAGAACAAAAUUUAUCGGAGAACUGCAAGAAGGUGGGGGGGAAUCUGCGAGCGUUACUCCAGCCCUCUAACUACACCUAUCGCCGGAUUCUUCACACCCCACCCCGGGCAGCCCCCGGCAGCGCGGGCAGCGCUGUGGCCCCGUCCCGCCUCACGCUGCGGCACCAGGGGGCGCUGCCGAGGGCCGCCCC
rnacentral:lncRNA from 1 species